rnacentral:rRNA from 1 species
UACAUAGGGUGCAAGCGUUGUCCGGAAUUAUUGGGCGUAAAGAGCUCGUAGGCGGCCUGUCGCGUCGGCUGUGAAAACUCGGGGCUCAACCCCGAGCCUGCAGUCGAUACGGGCAGACUAGAGUGCUGUAGGGGAGACUGGAAUUCCUGGUGUAGCGGUGAAAUGCGCAGAUAUCAGGAGGAACACCGGUGGCGAAGGCGGGUCUCUGGGCAGUAACUGACGCUGAGGAGCGAAAGCGUGGGGAGCGAACAGG